AUGGGGACGGGGCCGGGCACGGAGGCGUCGGGGGAGAAGAGAGAAGGGGCCGUGCCGGCGGGCAAGGUGGUGGCCGGAAGGGGGCGACGGGAGCCGGGGACGACAGCCGGCUGGGGCGACGAGAGGCGGGGAGCAGAGGCGUACGAGAGAGAAGGGAGACAGAUCGUGGUGGGGGUGGCUCUCAGGAGGAUAAGGGAGAGAGAGACUAGGUUCACUGGUGUUUCUCGACUGGAAAGGGUGGUAAGACUAUCUAUUAACUGUCCUGAUGGCACAAGGAAGAAGCUUUUGGGAUCGCAGCAAAUGGAUGAAAGGCGUGAUUGGAAGCGCCAGUUGGUUCAAACUUUGGUGGACAAGUAUAAUGAUUACCACCAUCUUUCAGGGGAUCUUGCAUAUGAACUCAAAGAUGUUGUGCGCUUCAAAUCAGUUGCUGGGGGCAAUGGCCAUAGGUACUAUCAUAUUAAUUUCACAAUGAAGACUAAAGGAGCUGAUGAUAGUAACUCUGGUGGUGAAGAUUUAUUCUUUGCUGAGGUCAAAAUCAAGGGUGGAGAAUAUGUAGAACUGGUGGUCAGCUGUUUCUGCAUGGUUGAACCUACUGACAAUGGUGUGGUGUACUCUUCUUUUACCUUACAUAUCCUUCUUUCCCCCGUCAGUUGUCAGUCAUUCCCUUUGGUUGUGCUUUGUUGA
rnacentral:rRNA from 1 species